rnacentral:rRNA from 1 species
CCCCAAUGGGCGCAAGCCUGAGGGAGCGACGCCGCGUGGGGGAUGAAGGUCUUCGGAUCGUAAACCCCUGUUGCCCGGGACGAAGUUCUGACGGUACCGGGUGAGGAAGCUCCGGCUAACUACGUGCCAGCAGCCGCGGUAAUACGUAGGGAGGCGAGCGUUGCUCGGAAUUACUGGGCGUAAAGGGUGUGUAGGUGGACAUGCAAGUCCAGGGUGAAAUCCUUCGGCUCAACCGAAGAACUGCUCGUGGAAACUGCAUGUCUUGAGUGCAGAGGAAGGGAGCGGAAUUC